GGUCGCAUGGCUUAGACGGAAAAGCGCCUGCCUAGUAAGCAGGAGAUCACGAGUUCGAGUCUCGUUGGGUCCU
rnacentral:tRNA from 1 species